UGGGGAAUUUUGCGCAAUGGGGGAAACCCUGGCGCAGCAACGCCGCGUGGAGGAUGAAAUAUCUCGGUAUGUAAACUCCUUUCGAUGGGGAAGAUAAUGACGGUACCCAUAGAAGAAGCCCCGGCUAACUUCGUGCCAGCAGCCGCGGUAAUACGAGGGGGGCAAGCGUUGUUCGGAAUUAUUGGGCGUAAAGGGUGCGUAGGCGGUUUGACAAGUCUUGUGUGAAAUCUAUGGGCUCAACCCAUAGUCUGCACAGGAAACUGUCGGGCUUGAGUAUUGGUGAGGUGAGUGGAAUUUCUGGUGUAGCGGUGAAAUGCGUAGAUAUCGGAAGGAACACCUGUGGCGAAAGCGGCUCACUGGACAAUAACUGACGCUGAUGCACGAAAGCUAGGGGAGCAAACA
rnacentral:rRNA from 1 species